AUGUAUUUCUAUGUGUAUCCAGAGUUUGACUAUUUUGUUGAUGUGAUGUAAUGGAAUCACAAUAGCCCCAGACUUUGCCAGGUUGUGACAGUUGAAACUAGCCAGCCCAUGAUUGUUGAGCACCUUGUGAGCUUAUAUUUUGUAGACUGUAGUUCAUAGUCAUUUUGUGCUGAACAGUGUAUCUGGAGUUAGUCCCCUCUUUGUGUAACCCUUAGCCUUGGGAUUCAGUCUAUCACCUUCCUCCUUCUCUCCAGGACUUUUUGAACUCCCGUCAUGCUUUAUAAAAAGCAUCCAAAGCUCUUUCCAGAGGUCUUUCCAAGCUUCAGCUCGUCCAUCACUGGGAGUGAGCUCAAUUAUGGCGCUCGCUCCCCACUGUGGUCAAUAACCUUGAUAACAAGACAGCGCAGAACCAGAUGUGCAUGAAGGUGAGUGCGUGUGUGCCGAGGAUCUGGAAAAUGUAAGUAGAGUUCUGUGUGUGUGUGUGUGUGUGUGUGUGUGUGUGUGUGUGUGUGUGUGUGUGUGUGUGUGUGUGUGUGUGUGUGUGUGUGUGUGUGUGUGUGUGUGUGUGUGUGUGUGUGUGUGUGUGUGUGUGUGUGUGUGUGUGUGCGCACGUGCGUUCUGGCUCAUACCUGAAGCACAUAUUUAAUCACAAACUAAUGGCCCCUCAGGUUCUCCUCUCUCUCCGUGGCUUUGGCAUCACACAGACAUGCUGCUCCUCAGAGGAUCAAGUCAGUCCUCUCUCUGCUGGAAGUGCCUGGCUCUCUGCCUCGUCUUCAGCCUCCAUUCAUUUAACUUAUUUCCGUUUCAGAUAUCAGGGCACCUUCAUCCUUCAAGAAAAGAGAGCAAUAAGGAUUGUGAGAAAAAAAAAGGACUCCACCCACCAAGGGCACUGCCAUCUCGCCCACCAGUCGGAACUUCAUUGCGGAAACACCAGCAUGAUAUGAAGCAGAGGUUCGACAAGAAGCACAGAGCUCGGCCGCCAAUGAAGAUAUCUGACUGGGUCAGAGCCCAUGGACCCCAUCAAGCCAACAAACUGAGCACAUUCUUCAAGUCAGGUUGGUCGUAAACUGGGCCCAGUGACAUUUCAGAUGCCAGAUAAAUCUUGUUGGCACGCCAGCUGUCUACGCAGGGUUCCUUGCUCCCGUGAACACACCCAACAUGACCACUGCUCCAGUGGUCAGGCAGGAAAUUCCUGUUUCCAUGUCAACUGCUCAGCGACCUGAGUUCCAACUCUUGCUGCCCCUGACUCCAGAACUGUCAGGGCCCAUGCACAUCCUGGGCAUUUUUAGGAGUUUGACACUCAUACAUAGACUUAAAAAUCCUUCUUUAACCUGUAUCCUCCCCUUCGUCUACAAGUGACAUCAAUAAGGGAUCAUAGAGAUCAUAGCUUUCAACUGGAUUCACAUGGUCAGUUUGUCAUGGAAAGAGCUGGUGUACUUAAUGUUUUAUACACUGUGUAUAGCCUACCAUGUGAGUUUGUUGUGUUUUCCUAUGGACUCACCAUAUUGUUAUCCUGAAGGGCCACC
rnacentral:lncRNA from 8 species